UACGUAGGGGGCGAGCGUUAUUCGGAAUUAUUGGGCGUAAAGGGCGCGUAGGCGGUUAGGCAAGUCGGAGGUGAAAUCCCUCGGCUCAACUGAGGAACUGCCUUUGAAACUGUCUAGCUCGAGGCCGGGAGGGGGUUGCGGAAUUCCCAGUGUAGCGGUGAAAUGCGCAGAUAUCAGGAAGAACACCCGUGGCUAAGGCGGCGCUCUAGGACGGUACUGACGCUGAGACGCGAAAGCGUGGGGAGCGAACAGG
rnacentral:rRNA from 1 species